rnacentral:rRNA from 1 species
CCUACGGGUGGCUGCAGUGGGGAAUAUUGGACAAUGGGCGAAAGCCUGAUCCAGCCAUGCCGCGUGUGUGAAGAAGGCCUUCGGGUUGUAAAGCACUUUCAGUGGGGAAGAAAGCCUUGGGGCUAAUACCCUCGAGGAAGGACAUCACCCACAGAAGAAGCACCGGCUAACUCCGUGCCAGCAGCCGCGGUAAUACGGAGGGUGCGAGCGUUAAUCGGAAUUACUGGGCGUAAAGCGCGCGUAGGCGGUCUGAUAAGCCGGUUGUGAAAGCCCCGGGCUCAACCUGGGAACGGCAUCCGGAACUGUCAGGCUAGAGUGCAGGAGAGGAAAGUAGAAUUCCCGGUGUAGCGGUGAAAUGCGUAGAGAUCGGGAGGAAUACCAGUGGCGAAGGCGGCCUUCUGGACUGACACUGACGCUGAGGUGCGAAAGCGUGGGUAGCAAACAGGAUUAGAUACCCUUGUAGUC